rnacentral:tRNA from 1 species
GCCCGAUUGGCCCAAUGGAUAAGGCGUCCGCCUUCUAAGCGGAAGAUUGCGGGUUCGAUCCCCGCAUUGGGUA